rnacentral:rRNA from 1 species
UACGUAGGGUGCAAGCGUUAAUCGGAAUUACUGGGCGUAAAGCGUGCGCAGGCGGUGAUGUAAGACAGUUGUGAAAUCCCCGGGCUCAACCUGGGAACUGCAUCUGUGACUGCAUCGCUGGAGUGCGGCAGAGGGGAUGGAAUUCCGCGUGUAGCAGUGAAAUGCGUAGAUAUGCGGAGGAACACCGAUGGCGAAGGCAAUCCCCUGGGCCUGCACUGACGCUCAUGCACGAAAGCGUGGGGAGCGAACAGG